AGCAGCCGCGGUAAUUCCAGCUCCAAUAGCGUAUAUUAAAGUUGUUGCAGUUAAAAAGCUCGUAGUUGAAUUUCGGGAUCAAUACGUCGGUCGUGCUUAGGUACGUACUGGCGUCAUUGAUUUCUCCCUUCUGACGAACCAUGAUGUCAUUAAUUUGGUGUUAUGGGAAAUCAGGACUGUUACUUUGAAAAAUUAGAGUGUUUAAAGCAGGCUCACGCUUGAAUACAUUAGCAUGGAAUAAUGAAAUAGGACGUUCGAUCCUAUUUUGUUGGUUUUAGGAUCAACGUAAUGAUUAAUAGGGAUAGUUGGGGGCAUUAGUAUUCAAUUGUCAGAGGUGAAAUUCUUGGAUUUAUUGAAGACUAACUACUGCGAAAGCAUUUGCCAAGGAUGUUUUUAUUAAUCAAGAACGAAAGUUAGGGGAUCGAAGACGAUCAGAUACCGUCGUAGUCU
rnacentral:rRNA from 1 species